CUUUUUAAAAUUGGAACAACUCCCCGUCUGUCUGUUCCGUUGUUGUUCUCCUGGGGAGAGGCAGACAGGGCAGAGCUAUGCAGUAAGACGCUUGGGCCAGGUUUCCUGGACUCCUCCCCCUCACUGACUAACCUGCCCAGCUGUGUGCACGAGGGCUCAGCUUACAGGCAACUCUGAGGAUAAAUAGCCCCGGAGGAGCUACUUCUCCUGACCCUCCUGUCCUCACCAUGGGGGGCUCUGCUCUCUGCCUGGUGGCCGUGUUUGCUUUCUACUUCCCGGCUGUUUCUCACAGCCAACUCUACUCUCUGAUCACGCCCAAUGUCCUGCGGGUGGAGAGUGAAGAGAAGGUUGUGGUGGAAGCCCAUGGCCUCAAGGCCCCAAUCGAGGUUACAGUCAUCGUGCAUGACUUCCCGCUCAAGAAAAACAUCUUAUACCAGGUCCAAACCAACCUCAACCCUGCGAAUGGGAUGAUGGGCACAGCCGUAAUAAAGGUGGGUAAAACCCCAGCCUCUG